UACGUAGGGUCCGAGCGUUGUCCGGAAUUACUGGGCGUAAAGAGCUCGUAGGUGGUGAGGUAAGUUUGAUGUGAAAUCUCCGGGCUCAACCCGGAAAUGGCAUUGAAUACUAUCUUGCUAGAGGAGUGGAGGGGGGACUGGAAUACUUGGUGUAGCGGUGAAAUGCGCAGAUAUCAGGAGGAACACCGGUGGCGAAGGCGGGUCUCUGGGCCGUAACUGACGCUGAGGAGCGAAAGCAUGGGGAGCGAACAGG
rnacentral:rRNA from 1 species